rnacentral:misc_RNA from 1 species
UCCGGCUUAACGCCGGCGGUCUCUCUAGAGUGCCCAACUGAAUGGUGGCAACUAAAGAUAGGGGUUGCGCUCGUUAAGGGACUUAACCCGACAUCUCACGAUACGAGCUGACGACAGCCAUGCAGCACCUGUCUCUCUGCCCCCGAAGGGGAAACCGUAUCUCUACGGCUGUCAGAGGAUGUCAAACCCAGGUAAGGUUCUUCGCGUUGCAUCGAAUUAAACCACAUGCUCCACCGCUUGUGCGGGCCCCCGUCAAUUCCUUUGAGUUUUAGUCUUGCGACCGUACUUCCCAGGCGGAGUACUUAAUGCGUUAGCGUCGACACUGCAGGGGUCAAUUCCCGCAACAUCUAGUACUCAUCGUUUACGGCGUGGACUAC